ACGGCCAUACCAUGCUGAAUAUACCGGUUCUCGAUCACCGAAUCAUAUUCUCGAUCACCGAUCUAGAUCAUCGAAGUCAAGCAUCAUUGGGCGCGGUCAGUACUUGGGUGGGUGACCACCUGGGAACACCGCGUGCCGUU